rnacentral:rRNA from 1 species
AAUGAACGCUGGCGGCAGGCCUAACACAUGCAAGUCGAACGGGUCCUUCGGGAUUAGUGGCGGACGGGUGAGUAACGCGUGGGAACAUACCCUUUGGUACGGAAUAGCCUCGGGAAACUGAGAGUAAUACCGUAUGUGCCCUUCGGGGGAAAGAUUUAUCGCCAAAGGAUUGGCCCGCGUUGGAUUAGGUAGUUGGUGGGGUAAUGGCCUACCAAGCCGACGAUCCAUAGCUGGUUUGAGAGGAUGAUCAGCCACACUGGGACUGAGACACGGCCCAGACUCCUACGGGAGGCAGCAGUGGGGAAUCUUAGACAAUGGGGGAAACCCUGAUCUAGCCAUGCCGCGUGAUCGAUGAAGGCCUUAGGGUUGUAAAGAUCUUUCA